UUUAAAUUUUGAUUUUGAAGCUCCAUCGUCUAAAGUUCUCCCCGUCGUCUACUAAGAUAAGGAUCGAGAAUUGGAGAUCAAGGCAUUGAGAGAAGGCAAAAAGAGAUCUACUUGAGUGGAUUGAGCUUGAACGAUUACAGUUCUGGCAUUCGUUGCUUUUUAUGGAUCAAGUUAGUACAAUGUGGUUUCUCCUCUAUUAUCUACUUUGUUUUAUUUGUACUUUUCUACUUCAUUUAUUAUGUAUCUAUGUUAGUCAAAAUUCCUCUUUCCAAUUUGAAUUUAACCUCAAGGUCAUGGAAUUAAUUUUAAUGUAUAAGCAGUGAGCACCAUUACAAGUACAACAAACUUCUGGUUGCCCUUGUACUACCAUCCAAAUCUCUGUUAAGAGAAAUUCUGAAGUUUAUUUGAUGACUCAAAAUAAGUGAAGGCUAGAGAAAUUUGAACAAAGGCUAGAAAAAUUCUAAUCCUUGGGCAGUUUUGAGGUUUAAAAUUGGUUUCUCAAACUACAUGUUUAAACUACAUUUGUUAGGCAUUCUGAUAACAACCUUAGAUUCCUUCUAGUUUUUUGGCAAAUGUUUCAAAUUUAGUGUCAGAUAUUUUACAAAGAAUAUAUAGUGCAUUAAAGCCAUGGAGUGUAUCAAUUGGUUCCAAAUUGUGGUGCAGUAGUAAAAUAUAUUCUGUUUUGAUUCCAUGUUCUAAUAAAUUUUUGUUCCAAUUUUUCUAUGAUAGUACAAUUAUGGUGGAAUCUAAGCUAGAAUCAAUAGUGAAACAUUAGAAGGUGUUUGUGAACCAGAAAAUGAAAUUGUGCAUGAUAAAUCUCAAGUGGAUAUUGUUUCAAGCUGGAAUAUAGCUGAAAACUUGCCUAAGGCAACUCAGGUAGUCACCCAACUAUUUUUCUAUGUCACCAGUACUUUUAAGUUAUAAGAGAUAUUGAAACAUUACUUUAUGCAAUUUAAUAUGACAUAGUUAAAUUGAAUCAUUUAAUCACAAGCUUCAUCAACUACUAUGUAUUAUUUUAUAUGAUCUUCUUUCUUCAUAUUUUGAUUGAUAUCACUGCCUUUUGGGCUAUUAUAUCGAAUCACUUCAUUUUGAUUGUCUCUGAAUUUAUGUAUAUUCAUGGAAAUAUGCACGAGAACAAACUGCAAUUGGAGCAUUUUUUAGGGAUGGCAACUUAUGCACUCCAUCAAUAACUGUUGCAAAUGCAGAAACUUUUGAGUCACACAUGACAGAAUAUCUUAGGAAGCAAGUAUGAAAUGGGAUUUAGUUUCCAAAGCUUGUAUAAGUUCUUAAUUCCUCCUGCUACUUAUAUUCUGUUCAUGUAAAUUGUAUUUUGCAGAUCAGCUCUUUCUUUGCAGAUAAACUUCUAAGGAUUGUUCGUGAUACCAUUCUUCAUAUGACAAGACAUUAUAUUAAAUCAAAACUCACGGGGUUUGUCAUGAUAUUUUUCCUAUUAUUUUUUGGCGAAUGUUAAAAUAUGAUUUGUGGAUAUGUUAUUUUGUGGUUAAUGGUGAUUGGAUACUAAAUUGAAUUGGAAAGUGAACUAAUACUGUAUUUGCUA